rnacentral:lncRNA from 1 species
AAAAAAGAUAAAAUUAUUACAUUCCAAUCUAUACUAUAAUUAAGUACAAGUUUGCAAUAAAUGAAAAAAAUAACAAAAUUUGAUAUAACACUAAUAAUAAUAUAUUCUACAAAGUUAUAAGAAUUAAAAAAAUUCAAUAUGAAAUUAAUAUAAUAGGGCAUUUUCCUUAAAGAAAUAUUACGUUGAAAUUCAUAAUAUGACUAUAUACAAACUUGCAAUAAAAAAUAAGAGUAGCAAACAAUGAUAUAUUACUAAUGAUGACAUGUUUAUCAAGCUUGAAUUUGGACAAAUACUUCUC